GACGUAGGGCGCGAGCGUUGUCCGGAUUUAUUGGGCGUAAAGAGCUCGUAGGCGGCUUGUCGCGUCGAAUGUGAAAUCUCAGGCUCAACUCCGACAUUGCAUUCGAUACGGGCAGGCUAGAGUUCGGUAGGGGAGACUGGAAUUCCUGGUGUAGCGGUGAAAUGCGCAGAUAUCAGGAGGAACACCGGUGGCGAAGGCGGGUCUCUGGGCCGAUACUGACGCUGAGGAGCGAAAGCGUGGGGAGCGAACAGG
rnacentral:rRNA from 1 species